AAACUUUAGGAUCCCUUGCUGGCCUGCAUCUGGAUUCUGAUUCUGCCGGUGACUAGCUCGGUGCCUGGGUAUCCGGCUGUUUCUGCCUGUUGCUCUCAUCUCGACCACAGAAACCCAAGGCCAUGAAGUCAGCAAAGCAGGAAAAACACGGAGAAUAAGGCAUCUUGACCGGGGGCAGAGGACCG
rnacentral:lncRNA from 1 species